UACGUAGGGUACAAGCGUUGUCCGGAAUUAUUGGGCGUAAAGAGCUCGUAGGCGGUUUGUUGCGUCGGCUGUGAAAUCCCGAGGCUCAACCUCGGGUCUGCAGUCGAUACGAGCAAACUAGAGUGCUGCAGGGGAGACUGGAAUUCCUGGUGUAGCGGUGAAAUGCGCAGAUAUCAGGAGGAACACCGGUGGCGAAGGCGGGUCUCUGGGCAACAACUGACGCUGAGGAGCGAAAGCGUGGGGAGCGAACAGG
rnacentral:rRNA from 1 species